UAUUCUCCAGGGAUACUAAGGAAAGUUC
rnacentral:piRNA from 2 species